GUUAGUUCCCUGACCUCUCCUUCGGCCUGCAGAACCCCCACGGAACUUGCAGCAGCUCGUGAUUUAAUUCCUAACUGAGCUGGAGGCCUGAACAGAGCCCUGACCUGUGGUCUGUGGGAGGGCCGCCACCGUGACCCGCUGACUAGAUCCCCUCCCGAUCUGGCCCCUCGGCCCAGGUCUUACUGUGGACCAAGACCCCAGGAUUGUUUGAAAAGAUGCAUCUCAUAAGCUUUGGUGGCAGGAAUGGACUCAGCCUCUAUCACCACUACAAUCCGCAUGGAGUUCUGGAAGGUCUGAAAACAUCCAUGCAGGAAACAACCAGGGGAGAGGUUGCCAGGAGACUCUUCUGCUGGGAAGGCUCUGCAGAAAGCAGACAGGCGGAGAGAGCCCGCGCUGGAGGCAGAGACGUCACUUACACACGCUGGCGCUGCGGCCAGUGGACACGAACCCAGCGCUCCUCCUGAGCACAGACGUGUUAAGAUCUGAUGCCAAGUUCAGAGGAGGCUUGAGCUCUGCCUGUUUAACUGAGUCUGCAAAACUGCAGAACCUCUAGUGAAAAUAAAUUCCUCCCAAGGGAAGGGUGAGAGAAACUUCUGGGUUGAACUUGGCAUCUAA